rnacentral:lncRNA from 1 species
AUCCAUGAGAUCACCGAAAGCACGGUCGCUUUCGGUGGCGGCCUACAGAUGGCAGCACAGGUAGCGCCGGUAAAGUUACAGGUGAUAUUAUUUUGCCGUCCUCAGUUGUCGCCACAUGUGAGUGCUUGCUGCAUUGACGCCGUCCGAUGUAGUUGUUUAAUCGUGUGUACGCUGUGCCGAGAGAAAUUGUGGUGCAUUUUGUAUGCAUUGAGAAUCACAAAACCCCUGGGACCGCGUAAUGUAGCCCGCAGUAUCCUUCGUGUGGUGCGCCGAUGUCGAAGAUAUGACCCUUCGCGCUUCCUUUGUUCCGGGCUCAUGAACAGGAUCUCCUCCUCUGGCACUGUCGCAUCGUAUCGCGCUGUACGGAAGAAUUUGGUGAAAGUUGUGCUCUUACGUCCUGUAGUUGAUCCGCAAUUCAACAGUGUGUGCGCCGGAAGGACCGUUGGUGCAGUCGAUGCCGCGGCACCUGUGACGCUAAAAGGAGCGUUUUCCGAGUACGCCUAGAAAGGGAUGGCAAGAUUUUGUGAACCAGAGGCACCUCCACAUAUGCACCUGCGGCACUUCUGCAGCCUCAACAGCACGGAAAAGUACCUGAUGUGCAUGCUGUGACAAGCUGCUGUAGGUAUGGCUGGACCUGGAGAAGAAGUGUAAGCAGACCAUGCUAUGUUGCUGAUCUGCGCUGAUCUCCACAUCCAAGUUGGUCCCGCGACAGUUGGGCACCAUUGUGCCUUGCUUCAUUGACAAGGUGAUAUAAUAUGGUGCCCUGCUCGCUCUCACCCAAGCAACCCACUCCAGCGGUCUUCUCUCGGCAGACUGGAUGCAUCGAAAUACCGUUAGAAGGUCCAAUAAACAGUGCUUGGGACAUUUA